rnacentral:rRNA from 1 species
GACGAACGCUGGCGGCGUGCCUAAUACAUGCAAGUAGAACGCUGAAGGAGGAGCUUGCUUCUCUGGAUGAGUUGCGAACGGGUGAGUAACGCGUAGGUAACCUGCCUGGUAGCGGGGGAUAACUAUUGGAAACGAUAGCUAAUACCGCAUAAGAGUAGAUGUUGCAUGACAUUUGCUUAAAAGGUGCAAUUGCAUCACUACCAGAUGGACCUGCGUUGUAUUAGCUAGUUGGUGGGGUAACGGCUUACCAAGGCGACGAUGCGUAGCCGACCUGAGAGGGGGAGGGGCACAAUUGGACAUGAGACAGGGCCAGACUGCAUAGGGGAGGAGCAAGAAGGAAUGUUCGGCAAAUGACUGAAGGCUGAACGGAGCACGGCGAGGGAGUGAAGGAAGGUGUUGGAACGUAAAAAUCUUUUGAAAGGGAAAAACCAAAGGGGGAAUGGAAAAUGCACGCCGUGACGGUAUCUAACCAGAAAGGGACGGCUAACUACGUG